GGGUGAGUAAUACAUCGGAACGUGUCCGCUCGUGGGGGACAACCAGCCGAAAGGUUGGCUAAUACCGCAUGAGUUCUACGGAAGAAAGAGGGGGACCCGCAAGGGCCUCUCGCGAGCGGAGCGGCCGAUGACUGAUUAGCCGGUUGGUGAGGUAACGGCUCACCAAAGCAACGAUCAGUAGCUGGUCUGAGAGGACGACCAGCCACACUGGGACUGAGACACGGCCCAGACUCCUACGGGAGGCAGCAGUGGGGAAUUUUGGACAAUGGGCGCAAGCCUGAUCCAGCUAUUCCGCGUGUGGGAUGAAGGCCCUCGGGUUGUAAACCACUUUUGUAGAGAACGAAAAGACACCUUCGAAUAAAGGGUGUUGCUGACGGUACUCUAAGAAUAAGCACCGGCUAACUACGUGCCAGCAGCCGCGGUAAUACGUAGGGUGCGAGCGUUAAUCGGAAUUACUGGGCGUAAAGGGUGCGCAGGCGGUUGAGUAAGACAGAUGUGAAAUCCCCGAGCUUAACUCGGGAAUGGCAUAUGUGACUGCUCGGCUAGAGUGUGUCAGAGGGAGGUGGAAUUCCACGUGUAGCAGUGAAAUGCGUAGAUAUGUGGAAGAACACCGAUGGCGAAGGCAGCCUCCUGGGACAUAACUGACGCUCAGGCACGAAAGCGUGGGGGGCAAACAGGAUUAGAUACCCUGGUAGUCCACGCCCUAAACGAUG
rnacentral:rRNA from 1 species